UCUAACAUGUGCGCGAGUCAUUGGGAUUUUUUUAAACCUAAAGGCGCAAUGAAAGUGAAGGUCGUCCUUAGCGUCGACCGAGGGAGGAUGGCUCGCGUCACGAUGCGAGCCCGCACUCCCGGGGCGUCUCGUGCUCAUUGCGAGCAGAGGCGCACCCAGAGCGUACACGUUGGGACCCGAAAGAUGGUGAACUAUGCCUGGUCAGGACGAAGUCAGGGGAAACCCUGAUGGAGGUCCGUAGCGAUUCUGACGUGCAAAUCGAUCGUCGGAACUGGGUAUAGGGGCGAAAGACUAAUCGAACCAUCUAGUAGCUGGUUCCCUCCGAAGUUUCCCUCAGGAUAGCUGGCACUCGCUUGAGCGAGUCUCAUCUGGUAAAGCGAAUGAUUAGAGGCCUUGGGGCCGAAACGACCUCAACCUAUUCUCAAACUUUAAAUGGGUGAGAUCUCUGGCUUGCUUGAACGUUGAAGCCACGAGAGCAUAUUGCAAUGGAUCAGAGUGCCAAGUGGGCCAAUUUUGGUAAGCAGAACUGGCGA
rnacentral:rRNA from 1 species